AUUUGUGUUCUACCGAAGAAACAAUGUCACCUACAUCUUGGAUGCCCUGGGGAGAAAAAGAGAAACAUCGUCAGAUCUUCAACGACUGGCACCACAUGGAAUCAAUGGUACAAUGGUACAAUCAAUGUUGCACUGCAGUGGUUGUUCUCUGCAUUUCUGACUUUUGUGGCCUAAUGGUUAGAGCCUCAGACUGAGGUGAGACCCUUGAGCAAGGCAUCAAACCCCCAACUGCUCCCCAGGCACCGCAGCAAAAAAUGGCUGCCCACUGCUUUGGGUGUGUGUGUG